GAUGAACGCUGGCGGCGUGCCUAAUACAUGCAAGUCGAGCGAAUGGAUUGAGAGCUUGCUCUUAUGAAGUUAGCGGCGGACGGGUGAGUAACACGUGGGUAACCUGCCCAUAAGACUGGGAUAACUCCGGGAAACCGGGGCUAAUACCGGAUAACAUUUUGAACCGUGUGGGUCGAAAUUGAAAGGCGGCUUCGGCUGUCACUUAUGGAUGGACCCGCGUCGCAUUAGCUAGUUGGUGAGGUAACGGCUCACCAAGGCAACGAUGCGUAGCCGACCUGAGAGGGUGAUCGGCCACACUGGGACUGAGACACGGCCCAGACUCCUACGGGAGGCAGCAGUAGGGAAUCUUCCGCAAUGGACGAAAGUCUGACGGAGCAACGCCGCGUGAGUGAUGAAGGCUUUCGGGUCGUAAAACUCUGUUGUUAGGGAAGAACAAGUGCUAGUUGAAUAAGCUGGCACCUUGACGGUACCUAACCAGAAAGCCACGGCUAACUACGUGCCAGCAGCCGCAGUAA
rnacentral:rRNA from 1 species